AUGGCACUGGAGCUGAUUUCAGCGAGGGUCAGAGCUGGAGCAAUGAACCUUCCCCGCACAGCUGACACCAGACACGGUUUGAUUGAGCAGCGAUCGCAGAGGAGGGGAAGGAUCCAGCCACGGCCCUGCAGGAGGGUGCUGAGGGGAAGGGCGGCUUUGGGGCGUGAUUCAGGGACAGAGCGGAGCCCGCAGAGCUGCCUGCGUGCCCCUGCCGGCCGGGACAUCGGGAGCAGGGCAGGCAAGGAGCGAGGAGCAGCAGGAAAAGGCAGCAAAGAGCCCGGGCUGCAGCACAGCAGCUCAGGGCAGGAACGGGGCUCCGGCACCUCGGCUCUGCCCGAGCCUGCAGCCACAGCACCAACACGGGGGGCUCCCGAAGCCCCGGGGCCAGCGCAGGCUCCCUACGAGCCCGGGAGGGGCUGGGAAAGGCUGGGGGUCUGCCCCGGGAUAGGCUGGGAAAGGCUGGGGGUCUGCCCCGAGAGGGGCUGGGAAAGGCUGGGGGUCUGCCCCAGGAGGGGCUGGGAAAGGCUGGGGGUCUGCCCCAGGAGGGGCUGGGAUCUGCCCAUGACUGCAGAGGGGCUGAGAAACACGGGGAACUUCCAGCCCAUCCAGCUCAUGGUACCACAUCCUAAAUUACACACAUGGGGUUAAGGUCCUUCCAGUUUUACUGAGUAUUUUCUUCCCCUUUCUGACUUCCUCAAAAGUGUGGUUAGCCUCAAAUCUGGAGAGGAAUCAGUGAACAGCCUCAAAGCCAGAUUUGAAGAGUAACUGGUUUGAAAUACUAGAAAGUUUAUGCCAAGACUUUAAAUAACCACCCUCCAUCCUUCUUGAUAUCCUGGUAAGAGAAUGGUUGAGUACAAGACCUUUAAUUUAAUCACUGUAUAAAAUAGUAUUUCCUGGAAUUUUCUGGCAAAUGAAACACUACUAAAGAGUUCAUAUUUCAGUCUUACAUUUCACCGACUACACCCAGGACUUCAGAACACUGCAAUCUGAUUUUUAACUAUAAGGUUUGCUAAUAAUAACCUUAGCAGGUACUGAGACAAGUGUGAUGCACAUUGAUAAGAGGACACCAACUUGUUUGUGUCACUGCUAAACAGAUAAAAGCUGCUGCACUUCCCCACUGCACAGAGUUCUGAUCUCAUCACAGCAGAGUCCCCUCAGUGAAUCCCCUCAGGCCCCUGCCCAGAGGCCACACUGCAGGCCUGGCCUGGCCAAACCAAGCUCAGCUUUGAACAAACUCCAUUUCAGUUUUUCUGCUGUCCAAUCGACUUUACCUUCCAGGCUUGUGCUCCCCUUGCGGGCAGGGUCAGCAUUCCCAAGCACUGCCCUCCUGGCCCCCAGGCCCAGAGCUCUGCACACUCGGGGGAGGAUUUUCCAGGUGAAACCAGAUCUCCAUUCAUUGAGGAAUUCCCAGACCUCCCUUCCCCAGGAUGCAGAACAAGCAAACCAGUACACUGCUAUUUAUAACCGUGUUCUACAGCACUGCACAGGAACAACACAUUUCAGCCCAAGUUACUCUGCAGAUUCUCAAUAACCUUGAAGGAGAUAAGUAUUCAGUAAGUACUAAACAGAGAGGCCCCAGCAGGGCUGGGGAGCACUUGGAAAAACAGAGGCAAAAAAGGAGGAAUGGAUAUAGUGAGGUUGGAUUUACCAACCAGGAAUGGAGCACUUGCAUGUAAUAAAGCAAAUAUUUACAUUAAGCA
ensembl:lncRNA